CAAAUAAAGCGGGAAGUUAAACCUCGACAAAGGCAGUUCAGCAGCCGAAGCCCCCCAGCCUCUGCGGGAGUUGGGUACCACAUUCCUCAACAGCCUUAACCUCCCGGUUAGCGUACGUAUGCACAGUAUUGCUGCCGCUCGGUGAACAAUUUCUGCUGAUUUUCAGCCACAGUGAAGAGUGAGGCAGAGAAACAAGGACACAACUGCUGUCUCAGCUGGGAUCUGUUAUUUGUGAAACAUUCCUGACCUGCACCGGAGACUCUCAGAGCCAUUUAUGACAGCAAGUGCACAGCUCUCCACAGGAACCAAGAUACAUCUUUACACAUCACACAUCUUUCUAUGGCUCCCAAAGGACAAAAUCAUCUUGCUCCAGACUCAUGCCUGGACUGGGGAAGGAGGGAUGGAUCUCGGGCAGAUCAAACCAAUCGCACCAAUUUCCCUGGGCUGUCACUGGCAGGAAUUAGUCUGGUUUAACUGGGAGGCUCAGACAGGUUUCCAACCGUGACAUCUGUUAACAUGCCUUGUUAGAAAACAUUCAGUGACAAUGUCCUUGUUUCAUUCCUACUUCAGACCUACCUCUGUCCUUCCCUCCUCUCCAUCUUCCCACCAACAGGAGGGUAUUGCACAUUUACCAGUGCCACCUCCCUACUUGCCUUUCUCCUAGUGCUGAGGCCAUGGGACACCAGACAGCCUUUUCAGGUUAACAAAUUCUGGCUGCAGGAAUGUGAAAACGCUCACAGACCCAAGUGAGCGAUAGGGUUGUCCUCCCCUGCCCUCACAGCCUCUUAGAAAGGAAGAGGUGGAACACAGCCCAAGAGCUACCCCAGGGAGUUGUGGUUCUGAGCAGAUGCUGUGCCAGGCACUGAUAGUUCAAUGUCAACUUUCAGUGACCUCCAGCUCCAAGGAACCCAACCGAGUCUCAACAAGACUCUCACAUCCUGCUAUCCACCAGGUUCAGUAAAGUUUCAGGCAGGGACAACAGGGUGGCACUGCCAGACCAGCACCGUUCAGACUUGCUGACACUCAAGUCUAAAAACCUCUGAUCAAUCACUCACUAGCCUCUUCAGAUUCUUCAGGGGUCUCUCCAUUUCUUUGUGGAUAUAAUCACUUGGGGAGUUUUUUCAAUAAUUUUUUUUUCGUUUAUAGCUCAUGCCAAAGUACACCAUUUACACAUGCAGCAAAGGGCUGCCCAAGCAAAAUCACUGUCCCAGAGCUCAACUUCCCUGCUGCAGGAGAUGAAAGGCAGAGCAGACCUGCAAGGAGAAAAAGGGGAAGUGUAUAAAGGGAGAAAAUGAGCGAAUAAAGAUGCAAGAUAAGUUGGGAGGAUUUGUUUAUAACAGAGGUUAGGGAGGAACUGGGAUCAGAGGGCUUGGACUGGCAUGAGACAACCCAAGGGAGCACUGAUUUCUUCAUUAGCUGAUGCGAUCACUGGGGCAGAACACGUCUGAAAGGAGGAGGAACACGAACUCACGCUUGAGGCUUUUGAGGAAGACAGCAUGCCACGUUUGGAAGGGAGAACAGGACGCAGUGGGGAAGUCUCACUGUUUUAGCUGAGUCCGUAACCUCUCAGCCUAAAGACUUUCUGGCUUUUUAGAUUGGGCUGCAGUUGAGCAGCCUUAUGUAGAGGAAUGAAGCCGGGUUAAUUAGCAUUGAUAAUAUACAGCUGUGGGCUGGCUUCAGGGGCGGUGGGGCAGCUGAUGUAGAUAAGGUGCAGCUGUGGCUGGUUCUGUUAAGAGGCUGGGCAGCCAAGGAAGAGGGAGGAGGAAGAAGCAGAGAGAAGAGAGAGAACGCACGCCUGGGAUGAGGAGAGACGAGGAGAAGGCAGCAGAGGGACUGGCACGAAGAGUAUGUUGGUAUGAGAUGGUAAAAGCCCUUGUUGCAGCUGGUAGUUUGGGGAGUGCUGCGACAACUGGUGCCCUGUGUGAAGCCCUUCAGAUUAUGAUGUAACGAGCAGCAACAGCGAUGAUGGCUGGGCCGGGGGAUGUUUGAAGUCUGGAGCAGUGACAGCAGCGCCCAACAAGGCAGAGACAGGUGGGGACAGCCUGUGAUCCAGAUCACACUGAGAUAAGCGGGAAGAGCCUGGGGAUCUGGAUCAGACACUGGUAAAGGUGAGCCGUUGGGAUCAAAGAGAAGGAAACCUGACUGCCGUGGAGUUCAGAGACCGAGGGUAACGGCCGAUAGUGGCAGAGUACACGGCCAGACGUGGCAGCAGCCCGCAGCGGGCCCAGAGCGGGUCCGGCCAGACAGCGGUGAUGGCUGUGCUGGGGGACAGUGCGGGAGCAGUGCGAUGCCGUGGGCAGCUCCUGCUGUUGGUGCUGCUGCUCGGCCUGGUGGUAUUCCUGCUGGUGUUUAUGGGUUUGUUGAAGGUGUCUCCAGUCAUAGACGAAAUAAGCGACCGUAUGUGAUGUUAAAAGACCUUGUUGCAGCUAGUAGUUUGGAGAGUGCUGUGACAGCCUUAGACUGUUUUAACCUGGUGCUCUUUUGGGAAAAAUAUUGAGAGAACAGCGGUCCAAAUCCAGAAACGUCUGCCCAAUGUAAGGAUACAGCACAUGGAUUGUAACAAGAACUGAGCUGCAUUAACCCUUCUGAGGAAGUCUACCACCGAAGUGGAAAUCAGCUCCCGAGAUGCAUGGUGUUGCAAUCGCACGGCUCAGCAUGCCUGCCUGACUGUCAGGGCCGGCAGGGAGUCAGGAAAUGGGCUGUCCUACCCCCCGGGUGCUGUAGGCCGUCCAGCAGCUCUUCUUGGCUGCUCAGUGAGCCACUUCACAUAGGCGCACUGCUGCGUCUGGCUUCCCUUCCUCUUUGGCAAGGGAAGGAGCCAAGAGCCAACCUGCUUGCUGUAGCUGCAGAGCUGGUGCACCGCCAUCCCCUGACCUUCUACCAGUGCACUCUUAGCUACUCCAGCUCCUGGUCUUCUCUCACAUCAGCUCAAGACACAACUCUCCAGCACUCUCCCGGCACCGCGCACCUGGCCUCCCUCGCUCUGCAGUAUACAGCUAUAGGAACAAAGAACACUAUCAGGACUUUCGAAGAGCAAACAGGACAUGUAAAUGAAAGCCACAAUUGAUGUCUGCCCUAUAUUGUCUCAGUGGAGCCACAGAGAGGAUGCAGCAUUGUUAGAAAGUAAGCAAUAGAGAUUAUCUGUCUGCAUUUAUCUCAGGUAGGUGUUAACCUAAUUUAUCUCCUUUAGUGACCUGCCUCUGGUGAAAGUGAGUAACAGGCCUGGUGAGGAAUGCACAAACUUCUGAGAACACAAGGGGAACAGCUCACAGUAAGAGACUGAGAACACUCUCAAGCACCCAAAGCAGCAAGCUGAACCCUUCCCAGCCCACUCCUUGUUGGCUUGUCAAACAUCAACGGGGGGGGGAAUGCAACUGUGUGAUCAGGCACAUGCAAGAAUAAACUUAACAGGGGAAAAAACAAAUAAACAUCUUCAACAUGAGAAAUCAGAAAUAUAAAUGAAUAUCAGCACUGAAAUCUAUGUAAUAUAAUUCUUGUCGACCAAAUCUAAUAAAACAAACCUUCAAUGCCUCUGA